CCCGGCACAAGCGGUGGAGCAUGUGGUUUAAUCGAAGCAACGCGAAGAACUUACCAGGCCUUGACAUGCAGAGAACUUCCAGAGAUGGAUUGGUGCCUUCGGGAACUCUGACACAGGUGCUGCAUGGCUGUCGUCAGCUCCGUGUCGUGAGAUGUUGGGUUAAGUCCCGUAACGAGCGCAACCCUUGUCCUUAGUUACCAGCACGUUAUGGUGGGCACUCUAAGGAGACUGCCGGUGACAAACCGGAGGAAGGUGGGGAUGACGUCAAGUCAUCAUGGCCCUUACGGCCUGGGCUACACACGUGCUACAAUGGUCGGUACAAAGGGUUGCCAAGCCGCGAGGUGGAGCUAAUCCCAUAAAACCGAUCGUAGUCCGGAUCGCAGUCUGCAACUCGACUGCGUGAAGUCGGAAUCGCUAGUAAUCGUGAAUCAGAAUGUCACGGUGAAUACGUUCCCGGGCCUU
rnacentral:rRNA from 1 species